GCCUGAUGCAGCGACGCCGCGUGAGGGAUGACGGCCUUCGGGUUGUAAACCUCUUUCAGCAGGGACGAAGCGCAAGUGACGGUACCUGUAGAAGAAGGACCGGCCAACUACGUGCCAGCAGCCGCGGUAAUACGUAGGGUCCGAGCGUUGUCCGGAAUUACUGGGCGUAAAGAGCUCGUAGGUGGUUUGUCGCGUUGUUCGUGAAAACUCACAGCUUAACUGUGGGCGUGCGGGCGAUACGGGCAGACUUGAGUACUGCAGGGGAGACUGGAAUUCCUGGUGUAGCGGUGGAAUGCGCAGAUAUCAGGAGGAACACCGGUGGCGAAGGCGGGUCUCUGGGCAGUAACUGACGCUGAGGAGCGAAAGCGUGGGGAGCGAACAGGAUUAGAUACCCUGGUAGUCCACGCCGUAAACGGUGGGUACUAGGUGUGGGUUUCCUUCCUUGGGAUCCGUGCCGUAGCUAACGCAUUAAGUACCCCGCCUGGGGAGUACGGCCGCAAGGCUAAAACUCAAAGAAAUUGACGGGGGCCCGCACAAGCGGCGGAGCAUGUGGAUUAAUUCGAUGCAACGCGAAGAACCUUACCUGGGUUUGACAUGCACAGGACGUGCCUAGAGAUAGGUAUUCCCUUGUGGCCUGUG
rnacentral:rRNA from 2 species